UCAGGACGAACGCUGGCGGCGUGCUUAACACAUGCAAGUCGAACGGGGUACUUGUACCCAGUGGCAAACGGGUGAGUAAAGCGCAAAUAACCUGCCGCAUUGAUGGGGACAACAAAUCGAAAGGUUUGCUAAUACCGAAUGCUGUACGGGAUUCGCAUGGAUUCUGUACUAAAGAUUUAUCGCGGUGCGAGGGGUUUGCGUCUGAUUAGAUAGUUGGCAGAGUAAAGCCUACCAAGUCGACGAUCAGUAACCGGUCUGAGAGGAUGAACGGUCACAAUGGAACUGAGACACGGUCCAUACUCCUACGGGAGGCAGCAGUGGGGAAUAUUCCACAAUGGGCGAAAGCCUGAUGGAGCGACGCCGCGUGAAGUGAAGAAGGGUUUCGACUCGUAAAGCUCUUUUCUGAUAGACGAAUGACCAAUUAGAUUGGUAGAGACGGUAUAUGAGGAAUAAGCCACGGCUAACUACGUGCCAGCCGCAGC
rnacentral:rRNA from 1 species